ACCAGACUCCUACGGGAGGCAGCAGUGGGGGAUAUUGCACAAUGGGGGGAACCCUGAUGCAGCGACGCCGCGUGGGUGAAGAAGCGCCUCGGCGCGUAAAGCCCUGUCAGCAGGGAAGAAAAUGACGGUACCUGAAGAAGAAGCCCCGGCUAACUACGUGCCAGCAGCCGCGGUAAUACGUAGGGGGCAAGCGUUAUCCGGAUUUACUGGGUGUAAAGGGGGCGCAGACGGCGAUGCAAGCCAGGAGUGAAAGCCCGGGGCCCAACCCCGGGACUGCUCUUGGAACUGCGUGGCUGGAGUGCAGGAGGGGCAGGCGGAAUUCCUGGUGUAGCGGUGAAAUGCGUAGAUAUCAGGAGGAACACCGGUGGCGAAGGCGGCCUGCUGGACUGCAACUGACGUUGAGGCCCGAAAGCGUGGGGAGCAAACAGGAUUAGAUACCCCCGUAGAG
rnacentral:rRNA from 1 species